rnacentral:rRNA from 1 species
CCUACGGGUGGCAGCAGUUGGGAAUAUUGCACAAUGGGGGAAACCCUGAUGCAGCGACGCCGCGUGAGUGAAGAAGUAUUUCGGUAUGUAAAGCUCUUUCAGCAGGGAAGAAAAUUACGGUCCCUGACUAAGAAGCCUCGGCUAACUACGUGCCAGCAGCCGCGGUAAUACGUAGGGGGCCAGCGUUAUCCGGAUUUACUGGGUGUAAAGGGAGUGUAGGCGGAAAGGUAAGCAAGAAGUGAAAGCCCGCGGCGUAACUGGGGGACUGCUUGUGAAACUAUCGAGCUAGAUUGCAGGAGAGGGAAGUGGAAUUCCUAGUGUAGCGGUGAAAUGCGUAGAGAUUAGGAGGAACACCAGUGGCGAAGGCGGCUUACUGGACUGUAAAUGACGCUGAGGCUCGAAAGCGUGGGGAGCAAACAGGAUUAGAUACCCCUGUAGUC